GGAGAAGCAAAGUGAUGAUCAUUACUGGCUGGAGCCCUGAAGAGGCACACUGUGUGUGUGUGUGUGUGUGUGUGUGUGUGUGUGUGUGUGUAUGUAUCUGUCCUUGUCUGUGCAUGUACACGUGUCUGAGAGUAUGAAUGUGCGUGACUGGUUGUAGGGAACUAGUUAUGUGCCUUCUGUUGGACUAUGACAGUCAAACUGAUAAGAUCUGAUUGCUUC